CACAGUCUUGGUCUUAAACUUACCACUAUAGCUGGCCACCAUUACACAUGCAAGUCUCAGCACACCAGUGCUUACGCCCACCUCGGAGCAAGUAUCAGGCACAUCAUUCAAGAUAGCCAAGGACACUUAGCUAUAUUUGCCACCCCCCCACGGGCUACAGCAGUGAUAGACAUUGGUUAAUAAGCCCCACCACAUUAAGCUUGAACCAGACACGGCCAAAAGGGCCGGUAAACUCCGUGCCAGCCACCGCGGUUAUACGGAGGGCCCAAUAUAACUAAUUGACGGCGUAAAAUGUGACCAAGGAGUAGUUUAAACCUACCGGUGCCGAAGCACAAGCAUAGUGAUAGAAUGCCCAUACAAAAAAACACCAUCUAAGCACCACAAGUUAAACCAACCUACACUCACGAAAGCUAAGAACCAAACUAGGAUUAGAUACCCUACUAUGCUUAGCCAUAAACCUAGAUAGUCCAACAACCAACUAUCCGCCAGAGGAUUACGAGCGAAAAGCUUAAAACUCAAAAGACUUGACGGUGUCCCAUAUCACCCUAGAGGAGCCUGUCCUACAAUCGAUACCCCGCGUUUAACCCAACCUACUCUUGCAAUACAACAGCCUAUAUACCGCCGUCUCCAGCCUACCUAAUGAUAGUACCGUAGUAGGCAAAAUAGUGGCCACACUAACACGUCAGGUCAAGGUGUAGCUAACGAGCAGGCAGCGAUGGGCUACAUUUUCUAAAAUAGAUCACCACUGACAGCAACAUGAAAACACAGUUUAAAGGAGGAUUUAGAAGUAAGCUGGAUCACACCCACCAACUGAAACACGCUCUGGGACGCGUACACACCGCCCGUCACCCUCAUCGCCAAAAAACUACCAAGUAAAUAACACCCCCAUAAACAACUAGAUGAGACAAGUCGUAACAUGGUAAGUGUACUGGAAAGUGCACUUGGCUUAAAA
rnacentral:ncRNA from 1 species